GUGUCAGCAGCCGCGGUAAUACGGAGGGGGCUAGCGUUGUUCGGAAUUACUGGGCGUAAAGGGCGUGUAGGCGGCCUGCCAAGUCAGAUGUGAAAGCCCCGGGCUUAACCUGGGAACUGCAUUUGAGACUGGCCGGCUAGAGGUUGGAAGAGGAGAGUGGAAUUCCCAGUGUAGAGGUGAAAUUCGUAGAUAUUGGGAAGAACACCAGUGGCGAAGGCGGCUCUCUGGUCCACACCUGACGCUGAGGCGCGAAAGCGUGGGGAGCAAACAGGAUUAGAAACCCUCGUAGUCC
rnacentral:rRNA from 1 species